CGUUCCAGGGGGAUGUGAGUUU
rnacentral:miRNA from 1 species